CCCCGGGGUAUAGAUGAGAGAGAAUUAGUAUCAGCAAUAGAUGAAGUUCAAACUCUUGCAAAUCGUGGCUUGGAAUUGGCUCGAGCAGGUAGAAAUCCCGAAACACAUGAACAUGUAUCAAUAUAUCAGGCUAUAAUGCAGAGGCUUCAACAAGCCUUACACCGAACUCACGAAGAUCGUCAUGAUGGACGGGAGGUAACGCCAUUCGUAUAUACACGACAACAGCGACAAAGUCGAGGACGACGCAGAAAUGACGAUGAAGCUGGACCUUCCCAACGUGUUGACGAUGGAGCUGGACCGUCACAACCACAAACGCAACCGGAUCACGAACUCGUCGAAGGGCGGUAUGGAGGACGACGAAGCCAAAGGAGGAGGAGGAGAGUUCUUGGAUGUAUGUAAACUACAGGUUAUAUACAUUACAAAACUAUUUAGGGAUGUGGUUUUUGGAUUUGUAGUCGAUAAUAUCGUGUGAUAUGUUUGAUUUCUAAGUGGGUUUGUGGUGUUAUUAUGUUGGAUUUGUUAGUGGGAGUUUGUGGUGUGAUGUGAUUUGUUUGAUUUGAAAUGAGUAUGUGGUGAAAUCAGUAUGUAAUUUGUUAGUGGGAGUUUGUGUGGA